GCUGUUAAGGAACUCCUUCAAAAGUGACGCAUUCUUUGACAGUGUGAAAAGUUGGAAAAGUAUUUUGGAGUUACCUUGUUUGAUGUCUGGAGAGAUUUUUGAGAAAAUUACCUAAUAGAAGAAUCUUAGCAGAAAAUAUGGACUUUGUAGGAGAAGAAAACAUCAAUAAUCAUUAACAAAAGCAUUUCAGUGUUUUGUGGGACAAAGGGAGAAUACUUCAGCUCUUUGGCUUUCAAGAAGAAGCAAUGUACAAGGAGAGAUCUGAAGGCUGAGAGGGAAUUAUCCAAGUGAAAAAGAAAAGGACGGUCCAGCAAAAUGAAGCGAUGUGUAUUAGCAGAGGAGGGUGAGAACCAGACAUAAAGAAAC